rnacentral:rRNA from 1 species
AUGAUGAAGAUCUGGGGCCACCCUCCAUGCCAUGGCUUUGGAAAUGAUCUUGACGGCCCCAUGCUCAAGGAGGAGGAGAGGAGCAGGGUCCUGGUAAUUGGUGGCACAGGUCACAUCGGCAAGCAUAUCGUUGCUGCGAGUGUCCGCCGCGGCCACCCGACCUCUGUCCUCAUCAGGGAUGCUGCACCGGCUGAUCUGGCCAAGGCGCAGCUCCUCAAGAGCUUCAUUGAUUCCGGUGUCGCUCUCAUCAAGGGAGGUUUAUUUGACCACGGGAGCCUCGUAAAUGCCAUCAAGGGUGCAGAUGUUGUGAUCUCGGCCGUGGGGACCCCUCAGCUCGACGAGCAGACGAGGAUUGUCAUGGCCAUCAAGGAGGCCGGCAAUGUCAUCAGGGUCAGUGAGAUAGAUUAUCAUUUUGUCUUCUUUGUUGAUCAAACGAUGGAUGCAAAUCAAAUCCCAGAGGCGGAUCUCCUCAAGUUGAUCAAGGAGGCGGCAUACCAUCUCAACAUGACGAUGUCCCACUCGCUCUCCGUCUUCGUGAGGGGCGACCAAGCCAACUUCGACAUCGAGGCGUCCUUUGGUGUCGAGGCCACCGAGCUGUACCCUGACGUGAAGUACACCACCGUCGACGAGUACCUGGACCGCCUCCUCUGA